AAAUUUAGGUUAUCACCAAACCAAGGGCCUUCAAAGCCCUAGAUACGAGCCCCCUCGUAAUUUCUG
rnacentral:tRNA from 1 species